AUUGAACGCUGGCGGCAUGCCUUACACAUGCAAGUCGAACGGCAGCACGGGAGCAAUCCUGGUGGCGAGUGGCGAACGGGUGAGUAAUAUAUCGGAACGUGCCCAGUCGUGGGGGAUAACGUAGCGAAAGCUACGCUAAUACCGCAUACGAUCUAUGGAUGAAAGCGGGGGAUCGCAAGACCUCGCGCGAUUGGAGCGGCCGAUAUCAGAUUAGGUAGUUGGUGAGGUAAAGGCUCACCAAGCCGACGAUCUGUAGCUGGUCUGAGAGGAGACCAGCCACACUGGGACUGAGACACGGCCCCAGACUCCUACGGGAGGCAGCAGUGGGGGAAUUUUUGGACAAUAGGGCGCAAGCCUGAUCCAGCAAUGCCGCGUGCAGGAUGAAGGCCU
rnacentral:rRNA from 1 species